UACGAGGGGGGCGAGCGUUGUUCGGAAUUAUUGGGCGUAAAGGGUGCGUAGGCGGUUCCGCAAGUCCUGUGUGAAAUCUUCGGGCUCAACUCGAAGUCUGCACGGGAAACUGCGGGGCUUGAGUGUGGGAGAGGUGAGUGGAAUUCCCGGUGUAGCGGUGAAAUGCGUAGAUAUCGAGAGGAACACCGGUGGCGAAGGCGGCCAACUGGACAGAUACUGACGCUGAGACACGAAAGCGUGGGGAGCGAACCGG
rnacentral:rRNA from 1 species